rnacentral:tRNA from 1 species
GCGGCAGUAGCUCAGUGGUAGAGCCUUCGCUUAGCAUGCGGAGAGACCUGGAUUCGAUUCCAGGCUGCUUCC